CAAGAAAUAAUUUAAUAAAAAUAUUAGUUCUGGAAAUUAAAUAUAUAUCUUAUAGAUAUUUUUUUGA
rnacentral:tRNA from 1 species